GAUGAACGCUGGCGGCGUGCCUAAUACAUGCAAGUCGAGCGAACGGACGAGAAGCUUGCUUCUCUGAUGUUAGCGGCGGACGGGUGAGUAACACGUGGAUAACCUACCUAUAAGACUGGGAUAACUUCGGGAAACCGGAGCUAAUACCGGAUAAUAUUUUGAGCCGCAUGGUUCAAAAGUGAAAGACGGUCUUGCUGUCACUUAUAGAUGGAUCCGCGCUGCAUUAGCUAGUUGGUAAGGUAACGGCUUACCAAGGCAACGAUGCAUAGCCGACCUGAGAGGGUGAUCGGCCACACGGGAACUGAGACACGGUCCAGACUCCUACGGGAGGCAGCAGUAGGGAAUCUUCCGCAAUGGGCGAAAGCCUGACGGAGCAACGCCGCGUGAGUGAUGAAGGUCUUCGGAUCGUAAAACUCUGUUAUUAGGGAAGAACAUAUGUGUAAGUAACUGUGCACAUCUUGACGGUACCUAAUCAGAAAGCCACGGCUAACUACGUG
rnacentral:rRNA from 1 species